rnacentral:rRNA from 1 species
GAGUUUGAUCAUGGCUCAGAUUGAACGCUGGCGGCAUGCCUUACACAUGCAAGUCGAACGGCAGCACGGGAGCUUGCUCCUGGUGGCGAGUGGCGAACGGGUGAGUAAUGCAUCGGAACGUAUCCUGGAGUGGGGGAUAACGUAGCGAAAGUUACGCUAAUACCGCAUAUUCUGUGAGCAGGAAAGCGGGGGACCUUCGGGCCUCGCGCUCUUGGAGCGGCCGAUGCCGGAUUAGCUAGUUGGUGAAGUAAAGGCUCACCAAGGCGACGAUCCGUAGCAGGUCUGAGAGGAUGAUCUGCCACACUGGAACUGAGACACGGUCCAGACUCCUACGGGAGGCAGCAGUGGGAAUUUUGGGACAAUGGGGGCAACCCUGAGUCCAGCCAUGCCGCGUGAGUGAAGAAGGCCUCGGUUGUAAGUACGUC